rnacentral:sRNA from 1 species
AGCCUGAUGCUGCUUAACGCGACAUCACAAGGUAAAGAUAAUCUCCUGGAGUAAACAUGAGCGAUAAAAUUGUUCACCUGACCGAU